rnacentral:rRNA from 1 species
AUGAAGGCCAACUGGAUCGUCCUCAUCCACCAAACCGGUAGUCCGUGGCGUCUCGUGGAUAUCUACACCCAACGAGAGAUCACCCUUCCAUCGUUGGAUACCACCGCCAUCAGGCCUCGCGGCCCGCCGGACACUCCUGCCUACUACGCACGAGAUGCAUCAAGCUUUUGGCUCGACCUCUAUUUCAGACGCAAAUGCGCUGGCCUUCAUGAUUCCAGGACCUGGAAUCAUACUAGCCGAUGGCACGACCCUCUUUUGUUGGAUAUUAUGUACUGUUUACCAUAUAACUGGAAUUACCGAUGCAAGUCGAAGAAGGAUUGGCCCGUGCUGCCGGCUGGCGUCAAGUUCGAUCCCAUGGAUCAGGAGCUGAUCGAGCACCUUGAGGCCAAAGUGAGUGCUGACAGCGCGAGAUUUCAGUCUCUCAUCGAUUUGUUCAUACCAACCAUCGACAGCGAGCACGACAUAUGGGACACCCAACCUGAGAAACUUCCAGUGCAAUUCCAGGGCGUUCAAAAGGGGCGCGUGGACGCGUCGCAAGAUACAGUCAGAGUGCGGCAUGCACGCGAUGUGGCACAAGACCGGCAAUACCUUGCCGGUGAUGGUCAACGGCCGGUAGACGGACAGCAAAAAAAGGUUCUGGUGCUGCACACCAACAAGAACUUCCACCAGCAGAGGACCAACUGGGUGAUGCACCAGUACCACCUCGGGGACCUGGAGCAAGAGAAGGAGCGGGAGCUGGUCCUCUGCAAGAUUUUCUACCAGACGAACACUAGGGCCAGGAGUCGAGCCCAGCCCAUGACGACAACGAGGCACAAAGAUCCAGCAGGUAUCUACUGGCCUCUGGCCCGCUAG